UACGAAGGGGACUAGCGUUGUUCGGAAUCACUGGGCGUAAAGCGCACGUAGGCGGAUUCGUAAGUCAGGGGUGAAAUCCCGGGGCUCAACCUCGGAACUGCCUUUGAUACUGCGGGUCUUGAGUCCGAUAGAGGUGGAUGGAAUUCCUAGUGUAGAGGUGAAAUUCGUAGAUAUUAGGAAGAACACCGGUGGCGAAGGCGGCCCACUGGAUCGGUACUGACGCUGAGGUGCGAAAGCGUGGGGAGCAAACAGG
rnacentral:rRNA from 1 species